GACGAACGCUGGCGGCGUGCUUAACACAUGCAAGUCGAACGGAAAGGCCCUGCUCUUGUGGGGUGCUCGAGUGGCGAAAGGGUGAGUAACACGUGAGUAACCUGCCCUUGACUUUGGGAUAACUUCAGGAAACUGGGGCUAAUACCGGAUAGGAGCUCCUGCUGCAUGGUGGGGGUUGGAAAGUUUCGGCGGUUGGGGAUGGACUCGCGGCUUAUCAGCUUGUUGGUGGGGUAGUGGCUUACCAAGGCUUUGACGGGUAGCCGGCCUGGGAGGGUGACCGGCCACAUUGGGACUGGGAUACGGCCCAGAGGCCUACGGGAGGCAGCAGUGAAGAAUAUUGCACAAUAGGCGGAGGCCUGAUGCAGCAACUCCGCGUGCGGGAUGACGGCCUUCGGGUUGGAAACCGCUUGCGCCUGUGACUAAGCGUGAGUGACGGUAAUGGGGAGAGAAGCACCGGCUAACUACGG
rnacentral:rRNA from 1 species